UCGGGAAUUUUGGGCAAUGGGGGUAACCCUGACCCAGCAACGCCGCGUGAGGGAUGAAGGCCCUCGGGUCGUAAACCUCUGUCGGGAGGGAAGAACGUCCUGCGGGUGAACAAUCCGCAGGAUUGACGGUACCUCCAAAGGAAGCACCGGCUAACUCCGUGCCAGCAGCCGCGGUAAUACGGAGGGUGCGAGCGUUGUUCGGAAUCAUUGAGCGUAAAGCGCGCGUAGGCGGCUUGGUAAGUCGGAUGUGAAAUCCCGGGGCCCAACCCCGGAACUGCAUUCGAAACUGCCUCGCUAGAGUCCCGGAGAGGAAGGCAGAAUUCCCGGUGUAGAGGUGAAAUUCGUAGAUAUCGGGAGGAAUACCAGCGGCGAAGGCGGCCUUCUGGACGGUGACUGACGCUGAGGUGCGAAAGCGUGGGGAGCAAACAGGAUUAGAUACCCCUGUAGUCC
rnacentral:rRNA from 1 species